rnacentral:lncRNA from 1 species
CUCUGACAUAAGACAUCUGUCGCUUUUCCAGCUUCUAACAGUUACAGGAUCAUCACUCACUGUUAUAACUUUAUCAUACAGUCUGGGCAGUUGUGUGACCACAGCACGGGCUGAAAAUUAAAGAGGUGAGAAAACGGCACCACUGUAAGGAGCUGGGCGGGAUCCAGGAAGGGCCGCCCACUAAGCCUGAGUCAGGAGGACGGAUAACAACGGUUCAGCAUCUUUCAAGUUCCCUCGCUGCCAAGCCUGAAAUGCUCCAAGUGGAGGCCUCAGUUGUGUUGCCUGGCCUGAGGAAUCUUCUGGUUAUUGCUGGGCUUCUGCCUCAGUUUAGCUCCUUAGUCGCUCAUGCACAGCAGUAGAGACCGUCGGUGAUCUCUCCAAACCACCACAAUGCCUCCGGACCUUGGUGUCAGCAGUCGCUACGCUCCACAUCCAUCUUCCUCUAAAAGCCCAUAGCUGUAAGUUUUCGAAACACAGCUUCUGGUCUUUAGGAGACUCGUAAACUCUGCAUGGGCGCUGAACGAGCAAGAUAAUCCUUAGCUUGUGAUCAUGAAAUGCAGACGGUAAACCAUUUUGAUAAUAAAAUAAGGACCACUGGAAAGGACUGGGAACAGCCGUGCUCGUCCGCUGCAGGUAUGAGAAGUUUGAGCGAUCAGCUCUCGUUCUGAGUUGGAACAAACUCGGGUGAAAUUCACACUGCCUGAAACGGUACCUCGCUGAAGUUCUUUCCUGUCCUACUUCCUCCACUCCCUUGAUAGUUUCUCCUUGGCGUGCCUUCAUAAUAAAUCGCCUGGAUGGUUCUCCUUAUCUCGGGUCUGCUUUUUGGGGAAGCGUUAACUAAGAAGCUGCUGUCUACAGAAAAGUGAACUCUCCGUGACUGGCAGAGGCCGCAGACCUGGCCCAGAAGCUCGGCAGUUUCCCCCAAAUCCCAAUAUCGGCACCCAGGGCUUGCGCGUGUCCAUGGGCA